CUGAUGUUUACAUCUUUAAACUGAAUAAAAAGUUGAUCACAAAAAAAUAACUGCAUAAAGAUAUUAUUUGUGACUAAUGUUUGCUUCAACCGUCUUCUUUUCAGAUCAUAAUUCGACGAAUCGUCCAUAAAAACAGCAGAAGAUGGUCGAAGAGCCACAGACAAGUUGCUGUUAUAUUGCAGUGAUUGGCUCAAAGCAGUGGCUGCAGAUCCGAGCGUCCGUGAGGAAAGAUGGGAGAUCUUCUUCAGAACGGGACGAUACGGAUGCUGUCUCAGGAGAAACAUCAUCUGACGAGAAACAGCCGAUCUGUGACACUCGUCCUUCUCCCGGGGCAUUGUGGGUAGACGCUCACGCCAGCAAAGUGCACCCUUCAAACUUUCUGUCGAUUCUGGAGUUCUAUUUUCCCCCCAAACAAAGAUUUAUACAUAUUUAUACGAGCUCAAGCGGCUGAUCGACGGGAAGGUGGUCCGGAGGAAGGGAGAGAAGAAGAGGAAGAAAAACUGGUGGAAUUGCAGAGGCUCGUCCCACAGUGCACCGCUUCACGGGUAACGGACGAGGACGGCCGGUUUGUUUGGAGUGGAAGUGUCGCCCGUCUCACGCUGAGAAUUGCGGUAAGGAAGGAAGGAUGCCAGUGUUUGGCAGCAGAAAUUGAUAAAUUACUUGCAACAAGUGGCCAAAAGAAGAAGAAAAAAAUCAUCGUCAGAUAUCUGGUAUCAGCAGGUCUAUUUUCAGUGUCGUCGUGUUGCUGUAUUUCCAACACAGAGGAAGCACCUUUACACACUUGAAAAAAAUCUUUUGUGUGUUGAAGCAACACAGAUUUUUGGGUCAAGAGCGGAAACUUCUAUUAUCGUGGCUGGAGUGUUUAGUGAGGCUGAAAAGGAUCAAAUCGCUAAAAAUCAAUGACGGCUUUGAAACCAAUCGUCCAUGUUCAGUUCCUCAAAGGAUUGUUAGGUUGGAUAAAUGUGGCUUUUUUCCUCGUCUGUCAUCUGAUACUAUCGAUGUACUGUGAAAUACGGUGAAAAAUCCCAGUCUGACUUCCAUCGCUAACACUGUGUUGGUUUCUGACGAAACUUCAUUCAUGCUGUGUGAUUUGUGCUGUUAUACCAGGAAAACACAACUUUGCAUAUGACAUGCCACCUGACGAUGAUAGUUGAGAGAGAAUAUUUGCACAAAACCUGGACAUAUCUGCACUUACCUUGGUUACAGUCGUAACCUUUUCUCACGUUUUGCUUCUGCAAACAUUCUUCCAUUCGUCAAAAGAUUUUCUCAUGUGGUUGUUUGAAUAGUUGCAUCUCUACCUUUCCCAUUGGAUCUGGAAGAAGCAUAUCUAUUCAAAAGCCAUUUAGUUCAUUCCUUUCUUGGCCUGUAAACGCAUUCAUCAAUUGUUCUGCUUUGUAGAUGGCUUUCUAAUGCUAAUCUGCCGUGUUAAAUAUCUUUUUGUUCCCCUUUCACCGUUUUGUCAUUCAGUUUAUCCAGUUUUGGUCACCCAUUUUAUUUAUUUAUGCGCCUGGCUCCAUUCAUGCGCUCAUGUAUUUUUUAUUAUGUUGUUUCACUGUCAUCCAGUGUCAACUCACUCUAUUCAGUGUGGGCUACUUGAAGGACUCGCAGGGACAAAGCGUGUACACAUUGCAGCGCUAUUCACCCCGGCCAGCUGGAUUGCCUGAAAAAAAAGGGGGGAAGAAAAAAAAAACCUUGUGAAAAGAAAUCCUCAACAAUGAACACAGAAGAAGUGCACAAUGCUAACAGUUUUCCAAAUACCACUGAUUGCUUUAAGCACAAUGAAGGAAAGCAGGCGCUUUUUGCUGAGCUCCACUUCAACAAACAACAGGCUCACAAAGGCCUCCCAACUCAGGUUUUGUUCCCAGACAAAACCUCCUCGACUGUCUAAAUGCUCCUACUGAAGGGAGACAAAGUUCUUUCAGUUAGUGCCCCCUUUUUUCCUUAGAGUAAAGCGAAGGGAGAAAAGAGAGAGGGAAAAAAAGGGAAAAUGGUCACUGGGCUGGUAAUGCUCGCUCUUUUGAGGAGCUGGCGACCUUUUCAGGCAUUUCACAGGCUUUCGUAAUAUCGAGAAAACCUAGAAAAUGCUUUUGUCAGGUAACUUAACGAGUUAUGUUUCAGUUUCAUUCUAAUCGUAUAGAUACUUCAUAUUACUGAGUCAUUUUAAGGGUCAGAGCAGGUAGAAAUAAUCACCAACAGCACAUUUUAACAGUGUAAAGGCAAACGCACACUUUCUGGGUCAAAAAUG